rnacentral:rRNA from 1 species
UACGAGGGGGGCGAGCGUUGUUCGGAAUUAUUGGGCGUAAAGGGCGCGUAGGCGGUGCGGUAAGUCACCUGUGAAACCUCUGGGCUUAACUCAGAGCCUGCAGGCGAAACUGCCGUGCUGGAGUGUGGGAGAGGUGCGUGGAAUUCCCGGUGUAGCGGUGAAAUGCGUAGAUAUCGAGAGGAACACCAGAGGCGAAGGCGGCGCACUGGACGGCAACUGACACUCAACUGCGAAAGCGUGGGGAGCAAACAGG